UGGGGAAUAUUGCACAAUGGGCGCAAGCCUGAUGCAGCCAUGCCGCGUGUGUGAAGAAGGCCUUCGGGUUGUAAAGCACUUUCAGCGGGGAGGAAGGCGUUAAGGUUAAUAACCUUGGCGAUUGACGUUACCCGCAGAAGAAGCACCGGCUAACUCCGUGCCAGCAGCCGCGGUAAUACGGAGGGUGCAAGCGUUAAUCGGAAUUACUGGGCGUAAAGCGCACGCAGGCGGUCUGUCAAGUCGGAUGUGAAAUCCCCGGGCUCAACCUGAGAACUGCAUUCGUGACUGGCAUGCUAGAGUCUUGUAGAGGGAGGUAGAAUUCCAGGUGUAGCGGUGAAGUGCGUAGAGAUCUGGAGGAAUACCGGUAGCGAAGGCGGCCCCCUGGACAAAGACUGACGCUCAGGUGCGAAAGCGUGGGGAGCAAACAGG
rnacentral:rRNA from 1 species